GGUGAAAAGUGCAGUAAUUAAAAAUGGCGGAUUUUCUGUCCAGCAAAUACUAAUCAGAAACUAAAGUUUUAAAGCUAAAACUCAUCCUAGAAAUUUUUGUGAAGAAGACCUAGUGGUAUAGUAAUUACUGAAGAGGCUAAUUGUAUUAAUUGUAAUGGAAAUCUUUUACUGGAAGUGAGUAAGAUUCCUGCAGAUGUACAGGCUAAAGGAUAUUGGCGUAGUCCUCAUGCAUCCUCAGGCUCUUGUUCCGGUACUUUAGUACAGGGUAUUUAGCCAAA